ACGAACGCUGGCGGCGUGCUUAACACAUGCAAGUCGAACGGUGAAGCGCCUUCCUUUUUGGUGGGUGUGGAUGAGUGGCGAACGGGUGAGUAACACGUGAGUAACCUGCCCCCUUCUUCUGGAUAACCGCAUGAAAGUGUGGCUAAUACGGGAUAUUCUGGGUCUGUCGCAUGAUGGGUCUGGGAAAGAUAUUGUUUCGGUGGGGGAUGGGCUCGCGGCCUAUCAGCUUGUUGGUGGGGUGAUGGCCUACCAAGGCGGUGACGGGUAGCCGGCCUGAGAGGGUGGACGGUCACACUGGGACUGAGACACGGCCCAGACUCCUACGGGAGGCAGCAGUGGGGAAUAUUGCACACUGGGCGCAAGCCUGAUGCAGCGACGCCGCGUGAGGGAUGGAGGCCUUCGGGUUGUGAACCUCUUUCGCCAGUGAAGCAGGCCUGCCUCGUUUGUGGGUGGGUUGACGGUAGCCGGAUAAGAAGCGCCGGCUAACUACGUG
rnacentral:rRNA from 1 species